rfam:Triticum aestivum genome assembly, contig: Triticum_aestivum_CS42_TGACv1_scaffold_030301_1BL
UUGUUACUCCCUCCAUUCGGAAUUACUUGUCUCAAAAAUGGAUGUAUCUAGAAUUAAAACAUGCCUAGGUACAUCCAUUUCUGCGACAAGUAAUUCCGAAUGGAGGGAGUAGUUU